UCAUUUUAAGUUGUUCUUGUGCUGUUAAAAGGUGAGCUUGCUUUCUAAAGGUGCAUUUUUUUUCCAGAAUAGGCUUGGAAGUGCAGCAAGAACACCCUACUGCUGUGUAAAUUGUCCCCUGGCCUCUCUAUACCUGGUGUCUUCUGUGCUUGAAGGAGAGUAGGGACUGGAGGCUAGAAAAAGUCUAUGGAAACAGAGUCUGCCUGCUCAACCCAGGACUGCUGCUGAAUCCCAACUGCGGGCAGUAAGGCUGAGCACGAGAGUGUUCCACUCCUGUGAGCGAUGCUGAGUUUUUCCAAGUAAGGAAUUCUUCAGUAUGAAUCCAGAGCUAAGCAGUAAUUCAGUGCAUGGGAAGAAAGGUAGGUUGUACAGAGAAUACUCACCACUAGAGGACAGGUUUUAUAGAUGCAUGGCAAUAACCUAAGGAAAGCUGUCUUCCGUGGCUGUCAGCAAUUAGUUUAAGCCCGAACAAUUUAGGCCUGGUUUAAGUCGUUAUUGCUCAGCCCAGACCCGCUCCCUUGUGCUCGCAAGCCCCCGGCUGCCACCUGGUGGGAGCCCCGUGCCCGGCCGACCCUGCCGAGCCUCGGGGACCCUCCCUGCGCCGUGGCCUGUUCUGCCACCGCCGAGCCCACGGGCUCCUUCCCGGCCGGAGAGAGCAAGGCGGAGGUGCGGUGCGGGAAUGCCGUGCAGGAGGUGACCGGGUGCAGCAGCAGCAACAAAGUGGUAGGUAAGUCGCUGGUGGUCACACAGCGUGGCACCAAAGCCUGGCACAGUACGUGGAAAGAUUCCCAUGGGCAGGGAGUCUGGGCUGCGCUGUUUUACACGGGCAGAAUUAAACAACUCUGUUGUCCAUCA